GUUUCACGGCUCUGGGUCGUCGCUCCCGAGCCCUCCCUCUGCCCGCACUCCCGUCUCGGGCCCCGGGUCCCCGAGUCUCCAGCCCCCUCCGCCAAGUCUUCGUCUCUGGGUGGAUUCUUCAGCCCCAGGGAAACUUUGGAGUGGAGACCGGGGGAAGGGGCGCUAGGAGGAAUGGGAGCGACGCGGGCCGUUCGCCCCCGCCCCACCCCGUGUCUGGGGGUCUUUUUGGAUGGCCGCCCUCGGGCCCUUUCCUCCGAGGCCACUCUGGAGGGUAGACGCUCUCACACGCAGACAUUUAUUCAUUCAACAGAUAUUUAUUAAACGCUCGUUGCCAGUCGCUGGGAUCGAGUAGAGAGCAAAACAUAUUCCUGCCCUCGGGGAGCUUCCUGUCGGGUUCACAGACACACACGCACGCACAGGGACUCAGAGCCCCAGAGACACACACCGAGGCACCCACAGACACGAGCUAACUCCCAGCUUCAGUCACACCACUGACCCUCCCAGAGACACGAACCUCCGCUCCAGCCCCGCGGGUGCGCUUAGAGACCCACGAGAGUUAGAGACCCGCAACCACGAGGUGCUCACGAACACCAGUUACACUUGACCUCUAGGCACGCACACAGACACACAAGGUAACUCACACGCAGCACUCCAGAGGACUAAAGUCCCUGCAAUUGGGUCUGGGGGAGAAGUGAGGGGCGUCGGCCCAAAGUCUUCUUCCCAACCUGUGUGGGCAAGGGGGGGUGAGAUCUGACCCCCAAAAACUUCCUAAAGGGGGACGACUCGUGGGGACUAAAGGUCACCCGCCCCCCACAGCGGGAGUUCGGGUGGCGUAGGGGAGAAGGCAGCCC
rnacentral:lncRNA from 1 species